rnacentral:misc_RNA from 1 species
GAUGAAGAACGCAGCUAAAUGCGAUAAGUAAUGUGAAUUGCAGAAUUCAGUGAAUCAUCGAAUCUUUGAACGCACCUUGCGCCCCUUGGUUAUUCCAAAGGGCAUGCCUGUUUGAGUAUCAUGAACACCUCAACUCUUGUGGUUUCCCACAAUGAGCUUGGACUGUGGAGGUUUUGUUGGCCCUGUGGUCAGCUCCUCUCAAAUGGAUCAGCUUACCGGUGUUUGGUGGCAUUACGGGUGUGAUAACUAUCUACGCUCGUGGUCGUCUCCAAAUAACCUCCAGUGAUGGAGGUUCGCUGGAGCUUAUAAAUGUCUCUCCCCAGUGAAGACAGCCUUUGAACGUUCGAUCUCAAAUCAGGUAGGACUACCCGCUGAACUUAAGCAUAUCAAUAAGCGGAGGA